GCGCGUAAAUUGCCCGAAUCCUGACACAGGGAGGUAGUGACAAGAAAUAACAAUACAGGGCUACAUCUAGUCUUGUAAUUGGAAUGAGUACAAUUUACAUCUCUUCACGAGGAUCCAUUGGAGGGCAAGUCUGGUGCCAGCAGCCGCGGUAAUUCCAGCUCCAAUAGCGUAUAUUAAAGUUGUUGCAGUUAGAACGCUCGUAGUCGGAUUUCGGGGCGGGCCGACCGGUCUGCCGAUGGGUACGCACUGGUCGGCGCGUCCUUCCUUCCGGAGACCGCCUCUGUUCUUAACUGAAUGGGUGCGGGAGACGGAUCGUUUACUUUGAAAAAAUCAGAGUGUUUCAAGCAGGCAGCUCGCUCUUGCAUGGAUUAGCAUGGGAUAAUGAAAUAGGACUCUGGUGCUAUUUUGUUGGUUUCGAACACCGGAGUAAUGAUUAACAGGGACAGUCAGGGGCACUCGUAUUCC
rnacentral:rRNA from 1 species